GGAAUAUUGGACAAUGGGCGAAAGCCUGAUCCAGCCAUGCCGCGUGUGUGAAGAAGGUCUUCGGAUUGUAAAGCACUUUAAGUUGGGAGGAAGGGCAGUUACCUAAUACGUGAUUGUUUUGACGUUACCGACAGAAUAAGCACCGGCUAACUCUGUGCCAGCAGCCGCGGUAAUACAGAGGGUGCAAGCGUUAAUCGGAAUUACUGGGCGUAAAGCGCGCGUAGGUGGUUUGUUAAGUUGGAUGUGAAAUCCCCGGGCUCAACCUGGGAACUGCAUUCAAAACUGACUGACUAGAGUAUGGUAGAGGGUGGUGGAAUUUCCUGUGUAGCGGUGAAAUGCGUAGAUAUAGGAAGGAACACCAGUGGCGAAGGCGACCACCUGGACUGAUACUGACACUGAGGUGCGAAAGCGUGGGGAGCAAACAGGAUUAGAUACCCUUG
rnacentral:rRNA from 1 species